ACAAAGUUAACGUUAAGGAAGAGGUGGAUGCAUGUGCAGAUCAUACCCUUGCCAUUAAGAAGAUCAACAGUGAAACCUCAGUGGAGGUCAGUUGGGACAUCUCAGAGGCAGCAACCUUGGGAAAACCUGAAAAACUGCCUCAUAUAAAAUCUGAAUUUCAAGCAGAGACAAAUUUCUUUCGGAGGUGAAACGAUGGCAUUAUCAAUCCCUUUGCUCACACCUCAAAUUGAUGUGGAGCAAGAAAAUUACCUUCGCAUGAGAGUGUUUCUGGAACGUGCUACAGAUGUUCUUAGAGAUGUAUUGACUAGAGAAUUACACAAAACUUAUCCAGGGGACUUUGACCCAUCAACAGGCAUAUUGUAUAAUGUUCUGAACAUUCCAGCUGUAAAAAACAACUUGCUUCAGUUAAGUAGGAGAAAUGUUCUGAAUGCAAGCCAAAAGCAGAUUUUGUAUCCAGCUGGGGCCCCUUCCAUAACUGCAAAAGUAAAUGAUUUUGAUGUCACUUUAAC